AUAAAUUGCUAAGACCCAAAACUGGUGCUAUGAAUAGCAGUUCUGUUGUCUUUGAACAUUUCUCUUACUGACGCAUUUAACCGCAAUUUGUAUUAACACCUGCUUUUACAAG